CCUACGGGUGGCUGCAGUGAGGAAUAUUGGUCAAUGGUCGAGAGCCUGAACCAGCCAAGUAGCGUGAAGGAUGACUGCCCUAUGGGUUGUAAACUUCUUUUAUAUAGGAAUAAAGUGAUGCACGUGUGGGUUUUUGUAUGUACUUUAUGAAUAAGGAUCGGCUAACUCCGUGCCAGCAGCCGCGGUAAUACGGAGGAUCCGAGCGUUAUCCGGAUUUAUUGGGUUUAAAGGGAGCGUAGAUGGGUUGUUAAGUCAGUUGUGAAAGUUUGCGGCUCAACCGUAAAAUUGCAAUUGAAACUGGCAUUCUUGAGUACAGUAGAGGUGGGCGGAAUUCGUGGUGUAGCGGUGAAAUGCUUAGAUAUCACGAAGAACUCCGAUUGCGAAGGCAGCUCACUGGACUGCAACUGACACUGAGGCGCGAAAGUGUGGGUAUCAAACAGGAUUAGAUACCCCAGUAGUC
rnacentral:rRNA from 1 species